UACGUAGGGGGCAAGCGUUGUCCGGAAUCAUUGGGCGUAAAGAGCGUGUAGGCGGCUCGAUAAGUCUGCUGUGAAAGUCCAGGGCUCAACCCUGGAAGGCCGGUGGAAACUGUCGGGCUAGAGUCCGGAAGAGGCGAGUGGAAUUCUCGGUGUAGCGGUGAAAUGCGCAGAUAUCGGGAGGAACACCAAUGGCGAAGGCAGCUCGCUGGGACGGUACUGACGCUGAGACGCGAAAGCGUGGGGAGCAAACGGG
rnacentral:rRNA from 1 species